AGACUUUCCUUUCUCCUAAACCCUACACCAUUGAUUCUUUAGGACCAAAUCUACGAUGCUGGGCGUUUUAAGGCGCAAGGUUGCUUCUGCUUCGGGUUUAGGGAAAUCUAUGUAUGCAGUUCGACCUACCUCUAGAAUUUCAUCUACUGCAACUGAAGAGAUAUUACUUCUUCCUAUACAAUGCGGUCAUGCUCGGCAAUUCAGUCAUCUUGUUUUACCUGGAUGCUCAGUGAACAUGAGGCCAGAUAGGGGAGCUGUGGUUAAUUUUCACUCAAGUCUAUCACAACAGAUUUGCAUCAGGCCUUUUUGUUCAAAUAGUGGUGAUCUGGUCGAUGCUGUUGUUCCUUAUAUGGGCGAAUCCAUAAGCGAUGGCACACUGGCUAAAUUGCUGAAGAAUCCUGGUGACAAAGUAGAAGUUGAUGAGCCAAUUGCUCAGAUUGAAACAGACAAGGUAACAAUUGAUGUAACCAGUCCUGAGGCCGGUGUAAUCCAAAAGUUUGUAGCUAAGGAAGGAGAUACUGUGGAACCAGGCUUCAAGGUUGCUAUCAUUUCAAAAUCCGGUGAGGGUGUGGAGAGUGUAGAUCAUGUUGCUCCUUCUGAGAAGCCAUCUGAAAAAGAAGCUCUAAAGCCAACUUCUCCCAUUCAAGAGAAAAAGGUGGAAGAGGUGAAAUCCAAACUUGAGGUGGCUCCUGUGAAGGAGAAUUCUAAGGCAACUUCACCGCCCCCUAAACGGUCUGCUACAGAACCCCAACUUCCACCCAAAGAACGGGAAAGACGAGUUCCCAUGACUAGGCUCAGGAAAAGAGUUGCCACUCGAUUGAAAGAUUCUCAGAACACCUUCGCAUUGUUGACUACAUUCAAUGAAGUUGAUAUGACAAAUUUGAUGAAGCUCCGAUCUGAGUACAAAGACACGUUUGUUGAAAAGCACGGUGUGAAGUUAGGACUCAUGUCCGGAUUUGUGAAGGCAGCUGUUAGUGCACUCCAGAAUCAACCUAUAGUAAAUGCAGUUAUUGAUGGUGAUGACAUCAUAUAUCGGGACUAUGUAGACAUCAGUAUAGCUGUUGGCACCCCAAAGGGUCUGGUUGUACCUGUUCUCCGCGACGUUGACCGGAUGAAUUUUGCUGAGAUAGAAAAGACAAUAAACGAGCUUGCUAAGAAGGCAACUAAUGGAACCAUCUCUAUUGAUGAAAUGGCUGGAGGAUCGUUUACAAUAUCCAAUGGUGGUGUGUAUGGAAGUCUUCUAAGUACUCCCAUCAUAAAUCCUCCUCAGUCUGCUAUCUUGGGAAUGCAUUCAAUAGUGAAUCGCCCAAUGGUUGUUGGAGGCGUCAUUGUCUCAAGACCAAUGAUGUACAUUGCGCUGACAUAUGAUCAUAGGCUGAUUGAUGGAAGAGAG
rnacentral:misc_RNA from 1 species